CUCUGCUCCCCAAGGAGGACCCUGACAUC
rnacentral:misc_RNA from 1 species